CUGCUGCUAUGAUAUUCAAAACUGUAUCAUCACAAUGUUUUGUCCUUGCAUCACCUUUGGGCAAAUUGCUGAGAUUGUCGAUCAUGGAUCAGUCUCAUGCAUAGCAAAUGGAAUUGUUUACUCGGCAAUCCUAUGGUUCUCGGGGCUAGCUUGUUUGUAUUCAUGCUUCUACCGCACGAGAAUGAGGCAUCAACUCAUGUUGGCCGAGACACCCUACCCAGACUGGUGCAUUCACAUUUUCUGCGAGCAAUGCGCAUUGUGUCAAGUA